AUGGCUCUUAGGUGGGGAGUUGGAAUGGUCCGGUUGGUGGCCAUCAUUGACCACCUUGCUGUGGAGUGUAUGGAUUUGAUUUCUUCUUUUAGAGAGGCUGUUGUUAUGUUUAUUAGUAGAAAAUGUAAUUCUGAUGCUCACCGAUUAGUAGGCAUAGGAAAAAGACUUGGUUCAAGAACUUGGUUAGGGUGUAUCCCUGUGCUAGAUGAGGACCUGAAUUUGUACUCCCAUCCUACUUUUCUUUCUUCUUAA